rnacentral:rRNA from 1 species
CGUCUAUAUACGUAUAGCAUAUCAAUAAGCGGAGGAAAAGAGACUAACAAGGAUUCCCUAGUAACGGCGAGUGAAGCGGGAAGAGCUCAAAUUUGAAAUCUUAAAGGUUUCCCUUGACGAAUUGUAGUUUAUAGAAGUGUUUUCUGUUAGUGGAGUUCGGUAAAAGUUCUUUGGAAUAGGACAUCAUAGAGGGUGAGAAUCCCGUAUUUGACCGUUACUUUCCUAGCGUUGUGAUACACUUUCAAAGAGUCGGAUUGUUUGGGAAUGCAGUCCAAAAUGGGUGGUAAAUUUCAUCUAAAGCUAAAUAUUGGCGAGAGACCGAUAGCGAACAAGUACCGUGAGGGAAAGAUGAAAAGAACUUUGAAAAGAGAGUUAAACAGUACGUGAAAUUGUCAAAAGGGAAGCGUUUGACACCAGUGUUGUUUAGCUCGAAAAUCAAUUCAAUAAUGUCUUUGAUGCUAGUUAUUAGACUUUAUCAGCUUGACUGUCUAGUUUUCUUGUAACUUAUGUGAAUGCACUUUUCAGUUAACAAGUCAACAUCAAUUUCUUUUGCUGUAAAAGGGUAAGAGGAAGGUGGCUUACAGCUUCGGGUGAAGUGUUUAUAGCCUUUUACCUCUGCAGUCGGAGAGAUUGAGGUCUGCAGCGUAGACUCUUCGGGGUUAGAUACAUUUGUGCUAAGUUACAGCUUUUCAUGGACAACUUGUUGACUAUGUUUAGUCUUGUAGCUUACUCGCUUAUGCUAUUUUACCUACGCUUAGGAUGUUGACACACGCGCGUGCUCG